UGCGCGCCGCGCCGCCGGCGCGCUGCGCAUGCGCGGAGCGGCGAGUCCCGGGGAGGUCGGCCCUUCCCGGCCCGGCGGGAUUGGCAUGGGGAUAACGCGGGACUGGCACGGGGAUAACGCGGGACUGGCACAGGGAUAACGCGGGAUUGGCACAGGGAUAACGCGGCACUGGCACAGGGAUAACGCGGGAUUGGCACAGGGAUAACGCGGGACUGGCGCUGCUCGGCCUGGCGACCGGCUCCUUGGGCUUGAUAGCGGGUAGCGAAAGUCUUCUGUCUGCCCGUGCCUGGCUCGAGUAGGUGUGUUGCCCACAGGUUUGUUAACCGGCUGCUAAAGAUGCGUGGCCAGCAUUUCCUAAAACGAAAAAGUCUUUUGCCUAUAAAAAGAGUUUAUCUGAAUCGGGACUAAGCAAGGGCGUGGUGGGCAACUCUGAGCUCGAAAGUGAUACAAAUUUGGUAGUUAGGAUUGUAUGGAAGUGGAAGUGUAGGAGAAUGCUUGCCUCUAGCUAAUGCUGUGGAAAUGGCAGCUUUAGCGGGUGCUUGCCGUUUAUAGAAAUCAGGAAAAGCUGAGGAAAAAACCAAAAAUAUGUUUUGUUAGUGCAGCGUAUGCCUUGGCAUUUUCUUGUAAACAUGCAGUACUAUGGCUUGAAUUCACCACAUCCUGAGCUGCCCGUACUUGCCCAUGGAAUGCACCACUCCCUUUUAGACUUUCCUAGAGCAAGCUAUUGUCUCUUUAUCCUGGAAUUCAUCUUAAUUUGAUGCUUUCUGGCUGUACAAAGAAGGGCUCAUGCCUGAAGACAGGAGAGGGAAGGUUUUCAAGAUUAAAGGUGUCUGAAAUUAGUAGAGAAUGCAACUAUAGAAGGAACACUGUGAACGUGUGAAGAACCCAGACAGAUGGACUAAUGAAAGCUGUAGAGGAGAUUGGUUUCUGAGGCUGGAUUCUUGAAAUAAGCUGGGUAGAUGGAACCAGAAACUGUGGAUAGUGGGGUUCUUAAUUCAUAGCUCUCAUCAUACCAUAAAUACAUUCUUAAUUUGCAUGAGAUUGGAAGUAAUAGGUGUUGUCAGGCAGUCUUUAGCUCUGCCUUUCACCUGGGCCCAUACUAUUUAAGCACUGUCCAAUGCCUGACCAUCCAUUAUGCACAUUAUUAAUUGGAGGGCAAAAGAUUUUGGCCUUGUCAGCUCAUGACUGUUUUAUUUAUGGGACUAUAAGCACACUUAUUAAAGCAAUUUAUUUCAUGCUUUUCCCCUUAUGUUUCAGUAUAUUUUAGGCAAAGAGUACAAUGGGGUUUUAAAGUCUGCCUUUUUUGGGGGUAGGGGAUGUUUAUGAACUGCACAUCCUCUAAACAUGGAGCUUCAAUGGGAAGGAAAUGGCAAUCAGCCUCCUUCACUGAAGAAAUUAAUAAGCUGCUGUUUUGCUUCUCCAUUGUAAAAUUAAUAGUUAUCCAUUCAAUUUCCUCACUUCACCAUCUUCAAGUCCCUUAGACUUCUAAUAAGAAAAAAAAAUCUACAAUCAUACAGCAAACUGGUGUGUUUACCAUCCUUUCAAAAAUCUUAUCUAGUACAGCCUGUUUCUGAGAUAUUGGAAAGGUUUCACCUGGCUACACACAUCCAUUUGUUCUCUUGGAACUGCAGCUGUAGGGCCAUAGGCAGCACAGAGCAUAUCCACAUUCUUAGCAUUUUGUUCUCUGCACUCAAGCCCUUUUUUGAAGUUCAUGCAUAGAAAGAAAUGUUAACAAGGACACAGUUUCUGACAUCUGGUCUACCUCUAUGAAUUCCUUUCAUCUUGUGAAUGAAGAUUUGGGAAGGGCUCUACCCACGCUUGCUACAAGCGCACUGAUGGCUAAAAAGGCCAAUGCGAGAUAGACAAGUCCGGUAGCAGAAGGCACAGCAGAAAGACUCCCCAGGUGAUAUCGACGAGACGCGAUUCUUCCUGCGCUGUCUUUUCUCCUCGAGAGUGAUCCUGUGUGUGUUCUCAAAAGCAGCAGCAGCAGCGUUAUAGAUGGUGUGUCUCCAGGCCUCCCGACUGGAGGCCAGGGUAGACCAAUGGUGGGGAUCAAUAUGGCCAAGGCUAAGAUACUGUUUUAGGGAGUCCUUGUAUCUCCUCUUCAGGACUCCUCUCUUGCGGCAGCUGCUGCCGAUGAAUUCCUUUAUACUCAUGCCAUCUUUCAUGCAACUAUGAGAAUUUCAGUUUAAAAUGGAUCAUGGUAUCAUCAAGUCCUUCUGAGAAACAUAAAAUGUUGCUCUCUGGCAAGGUUUAAGGCUAGAUCUACAAAACUGAUAGAUAAUUUGCUGUAAGCAUGAAGUCAUAUUUUUGGACUGCUUUAGGAGUCAAAUUUAUUUUUAGAUGUAUUAAAACUCAUUUAUGUCUCUAAACUUUUUAUCUUUUAUGACAGUAUCAUUUAAGAAAGAAAACUAUAUUUGAGAUUCAAAAUACUGUAAUACAGAAACUUCAUAGCUAAUAUUUAGAAAUUGGAAGUUAUUUCUUGUGAAGUAGAUGCCUCAAAGAAGGAAACAGAAAACUUUCAAAGGAUAAGAUUCUUUUAAAACGAACUGAUUACUUAUGGUUAGCAAGAACUUGGAAGGUGUGAAAGUCACAUGGUUUCUAAUUGCAGUAUUUUGCAAAACAAAGUAACUGGUGAAUAUUCAGAACUCUUGAAGGUGGAGCUCAAAGAAUUAGUAAGCUUUCCUUUCCUAGGGUUUUUUGCAAGUUGAUGUACAUAUCUGCCUUAAGGAUGUGAAGCUCAUGGACAUAACUAGUUGAGCACGAAGGGACUUUUUACUCCAAGAAACCUAGAAUUGUACAAAGUGUGUAACAGAACUUUAAACUUCUCCUACCAGAAGCUAUACCAACUGUUGUGCUGGUGCAUUUGUUGUUUGUAAAAAGCAUAGUUUUCACUCAGUUCUGGUUUUGUUGGAUAUGCUUAUUAUAAUACAGUACUUGCAAAACAGGCUUAUGUUUAACUGUGGGAAAAUGGUGACUUAGCAUUCUUUCUAAUACUGUUCUGCAGAUCUUGUGUUAUUUUAUCAUGCUCGACGUGUAUUUAUUUUUUUCUUCUUUCUCCCCUUUGUUUUCUUUUCAAGCCUGGAAGCUUUGAGGCAAUUCAACAGAAAAUAGAGUUACUUUUUAACUACUUAAAAUGUUAAUGUAGGUACUGUUUCUAUUAACAUUGUCUCCCAAAUCUUUGCAUUGUUUAAAAAUACAUUGUUACAUCCAGCCACUCGA